GGACACUGGAUUUUAAUACAUUCAAGUAUGACGGAGAAGCAAACAAUUUGGUCUCAUGCAAUGUCAUUUGUGAUGUAAAAUAGCAGAUUGCAGCUGCUCAUCUGUCCUGUCUAAUCCUAUGACUCUGACUCAUCGUGACGUUGGCAUUGUUAACCUUGCAAAGUAACUGGGUCAGGGGUGAAAUCCACAAUUUCUUUUAAUUU